UUAAUAAUGAAAACCAAGCACUGAGUCACUGCAUUCUGAAACGACAGAAUGAGGAGAAAAUACACAUCAGGCAUGCACUUUAAGAGUAACGUCGUUCGGUCGUAAUCGCGUUGCAUUUUCAUAAUUGCUACGUUUAUGGCAGCAAUGGAACGCAUCUCUUCUAGGCUACACGUUUCCUGCAAAUGUUUCACCCUCCCUCUGCUUUUGUUUCAAGAAAACUUAUCAACAAAUGUGUCUGUGGAAACAUGAACACUUGAGGCGCCUUAAGUGCACCGAAGGACCAGAUACCCACAGAAAGCCUAUUUAGGUCUAUUAAGAGUCUAUAAAGGUCAAUGAGACAAGUUACUGUUCAGAAAAGUGGUAAUAUUUUACAUCAGUCAUUUUUGACUGUAGGCUGUUAUCCUGAACAGCUUUUCUGCCAGCGAAAGUCACCGUUUAUUGGCAGUUGUAUCUAUAGGUUUGAAAUAGUUUAUUAAGUUUAUUUUGUGUGCUUUAAGCGGUAGAGUGUGUUUCUGUCUGAAACCUGUUUACCAAUACAGGGUUAGGGUAUGUCAGUCGUUUGAUUGGAUCCCACACCAUAACACUGUGUUUAUGCUAUUAUUUUUACAAUCCGUGUCUCAAAGUCUAAAUGAUGUUGAAUAAGAAGUCUUUUCCAUCCUGGCAGGAAACACAAAAACAAAACUGUGCAAUUUGUUGGUGAAAAAACACAUUUUGAAUUUAGUAUUUUUUUACGGGUCUCAUCCAAAAACGGAAGUCAGUUGACGUCAUCCGGUGCGGUCUACAUCUGCCCUGCAGUCAGAAAGAGCUCAGGGGCCAAGGUCCCUCUUCACUGAGGGUGUUUGUGGCUCAGACUCUCAGUGUCUGGACUUGUAGCAGUAAAACAAGGACAUACCAACCGGGCCAUCUCUGGGGCCAUCUGACUGGGACCGGCUGGUUAUAGGUGGGGGGUCAGGAGGCCUGGCUGUUCUUACUCAGCUCUGCAGUCAGUCACAGAGUAUUUACUGUACAUGGAUUUGUUCAGAGGUCUAGCAAAAGUAGAAUCUGUACUGUUCUUUGCUCCCACAAUGAUUUUUUCACUCACUGUUGUGCAACAUUUUGAUCAAUCAGAUCUUGAUCAAGCACAAAGCAAUACCAACAAACAUCGCCUUAUAUAUACAUACCUGUAUCUCCGAACAACAGCAGUGCAAAGGUGGACAAACUGAAAAGUCAUUGGCUGCCGCCCAAGCUCACUCUGUAUGCGCAGUAAGUAGCGCUGAAACGAUUUGGCAAUUAAUUGAUUAAUUGACUGACAGAUAAUUAAUCGACAACUAUUUUGAGAAUCGAUUCAUCGUUAUAGUCACUUUUCAAGACCGAAAUACUAAAAAUGUGCUUAUUCCAGCCUCUCAAAUAUAACAUCCGUUGGUUUUAAACUAUUAGUCAGACAAAACUUUGGCAUAUGAAGACGUCAUCUUGAGUUUUAGGAAACUGUGAUUGGCAGAUUUCUUUAUUGUCUGACAUUUUAUAGACAAAACAAUGAAUCGAUUAUUAUUAUUUUUGAUUAUGAACCAAAAAUAAUUCCCAGAUUAAUCAGUGAUAAAAAAAAUAAUCAUUAGCUGCAGCCCUAGUAUUCAGAAAACGAUUAAGGAAUAAUCAGUCACAGGUGACAACAGUUGGAAUGUAGAACAAUAUGAUAAACAGUCAGUCAAAGACCAAAGAAAGAAAAGUAACGAAAUAAUCAAAAAUGAAUUGAAAAAAUAAUGAAAUGAACAAAGAAUAUAUUAAAGGUGAAAUAGGAAGAAAAAUAAAUGAAUAAAUAGAAAAUAAUAAUUUACAUAAAAGGUUUAAAAAUUGAGAUCUUUUAGGGAUAAUGUGUCAAAAGUGUAGCUGCAACAAGCCUCUCUCCUCAUUAUUAAAUGUACAGUGUAACAAUGUGGCCGGGGUCAUAGAGAUGAACCUAUACAGAAAUCUCAGCUGAGUCUGCAGCUCCCCUCGUCUUUACGCAGCUUUAUAGUGAGUUUCAGCUCGUUGUUUAGCUGUCCAGCUGCUGUUUUUACUGUUCAGUCUCACCUCUCUCAGCGUCGUUUUCGUACAGGCAGCUGUUUUCAGUGAAACAGCUGUAAAAAGCACAAGCUGCUCAGCAGACAGACAGACGCGGUCAGAGAGCAGCUGGUGAACACGGUGAAUCAUUUAGCAGCUAAAGAGCCAGAUAUUUCCCUCAGGAGCUGGUGGAGACCAAAACAGAGCUGAGACAGAGUGCAUGCUGGACUUACAUUCAUCAGGUGCUCAGAAACACGGCUCCAAAUGAACGCGAAUGUUGCCCUGUGACUGCUGGAGGUGUAGGGAUGCAGGUUUAAGGUCAUCAGUAAGAACAGUGCUCCUAUGUCCUGCUAAUGCUAGAUCGAAUUUGUUGUUUUGCAGGCGAUUAUUAAUUUAAUCUCCAGCUGAUUUCCAGGAUGUGUUGACUGAAUAAGUGGCAUUUGGAGGUGAAAUGACACCGUGCACUGGGAACAUGUGCAGUUGCCAUGGGGGAGAGAUGACAGGAAAUGGACAGGUCGUUUCCAUGGAGAUUUGGCUCUCACAAGCUCACGGAUGCUGGGAGGGCAUUUGUGCACAAAACAUAAACUCAUAUAAAGAUUUGGAUCUUCCUGAUUAUUAGCUGCACAAUCCAAAGCUUAAAAGUCUGAUAGAUAUCUGAUUUUAAAACUCUCCAUUUAUUUGCAUUUGUACUUUCCGUAACUUUAAGUUCCCCUGCGUGCAUCCAGCCGGAACUCCUGCUUCACUCCCAGUGGUUAAAGGACACUCCACCAACUCAGCCUCAUAAUUGCUGCUAAUCUGGUUAAUGAACGCACACUUUGCCAAAGCACAGCUCAGGUCAUUUUCAUAUUAAUAGGCGUUAUGGUAAUGGGAUGAUCUGUGAGUAGCUCUAGAGGAAAGUGGAAAUGAGAUGAAGGGGCAGGAACUGGGACUGUCGAGAAGGACAAAUGAACCCGUUUCAAUAUUUCAUUUCUCUCUCUUGCUGUGGCUCUCAUUUUUCAGUUUUCCUCUCCUGUCACUCCGUCAGGAAGCUGCAGGGUGGAGGGAAAAGGUGAUGAUCCUUGACCUUGUGGCUCCCUCUCUAGAGGCACCGAGAGGGCUGUUUAAUGCUCACAGUCUGAAGAGUCGUGGGCUGUGGCUUUGGUGUGUGAGUGUGUGUGAAUGAUUAAUUAGUUUCUUUGUACUGAUGAACAGUUAGCAUCUGCCAUCAGUGUGUGAAUGGGGUGAAUGCGAUAUGUAGUGUGUGAAGGCUUUGAGUGGUCGGAAGACUAGGAAGGCGCUAUACAAGAAAAUUUACCAUUACAAUGAAUCCCUAAUUUGUAUAUGCAGUUUACAGUAAAAGCGCACACUUAUAGUUUUAAUUAUUCUCAAAAACAAAGCUGCUUCAGAAGAUACGGUACAUGAUUUUGAAUCCUGCAGUUUGACUAUAUCACUUGCCCUAUGCUAAGUUGUUCUGAGCCAGAAAAUCCAAAUUUGGGCAAAACAGUAGAGACUGGGAGGAGUUAAGGAGGGACAACCAGAAUCUAACCUGAAAUAAGUGACCGUGACAGGCUUAACUGAACAAUAAUUUUCAAAAUGUUCUCAUGAAACACACGUUAAAAGAAGUCACACCAGCCAUUGAGACCUAAAUCUUGAUUGACCUUGUAUACUUUGUAUAGAAGUUGAGAGUUUUUCCCAGUCAUGUCAUUACACAAGACUCACAGUUGAUUUAUUGUUAAGGGGUUACGCCGUAGCUACGAAGCCUUCACAUGUAGCUGCCAUAGCUUAGCCACAGGCUACUCUGCAUGUCUGGGCUGCGGCGGCUACAGAGGGACCACGGGAGGAACACGAGAACUGGGACUGGUCAGCUCAGGCUGCUUGUGUUUUCUCCUCCUCCUCACCGUGAUCACCGCUCUCUGUCACAGUGAAUGAAAGAAUGAGAACACAUUUUGCUGAGGGGAACAUAAUUAAAGCACAACAUGGCCUGAUCAUGUGUGAUACAUCUGUCUAGUGCUGCAGUAUUGAUAUCAAAAAUCUGACGCUUAUGUUAUUGAAUCAAAACCUAUGCCGUUGGUAUCUAUGGGGGGACUUAACCCCUCGCUAUUGGAGCCAGCAUCCAGUGGCCAUUCAGCAUGGUGGUUUCCUCAAGCUGUAGAGGCCGAAAUAAUCUCAUUGGUCGAGCUAAACGUCAGUGGUCAAAAUGGUGAUAGAAAUACCAACGGUAGGAAGCACCUACAACCUCUCUCCAAACAUCCCACGCUUGACAGCAGAGACCUUGGUCAUCGCUACAGGAGUCAGACCUCAAUUUCUGGGCAUACCUAAAGACAGAGAGUACUGCCUAACCAGGUCAACAAGCACUGAGACAUUAGAUUCUGUUUCCACAUGUGCCUCAAUUAAAAGAACUGUCUGAAUAUAAAUAGGCCGCAUCACAGAACUCCUGCAGUCCACUGAACGUCACCUCUGAAGUCCCUUCCCUCUCUCACCUCUAAGUGAAGAGCUCCUCUCCCUGCCUCACCCCCUAGGUCGGACCCUGGUGGUAGGCGGGUCUGCAGAGGCGUUGGAAUACACUUCCUGGCUUCCUGUUUGGCCUCGAACUGAAUGCUGCAGCCUACCCUGCUCCCGGGGUUUGAUCAGAUAAUGGCACAGAAGAGGGAAAAAACACGAGUUCGUUAUUGGAGUGCACUUCCUUUAUCACUGUUCACUCACCAAGGUGGAGCAGACUGAAGCUUGGAGUAAGGACGCCGUUUUUCCUCCAAACCUAAGCAAAAUUCUGACCCGAAAACCUUCCACAUUUAACCUCUGCCCCCCACAGACACUGAUGGAAAGUAUUGUACUUAAGUUCAGUUUUGAGGUGAUUCUGCAACAACACCACAGUAGGUUUCUAGGGGAAGACUUCGAGUGAACAUCUGUGAUUGCACCAAUGUGCCCUCUGUUGUGCUCGCUCCACUGGAUUAUGCUGCUUGUGGUCUGUCUGAGGAGACAGCCAAUCUAACAUUUGGAGAAGCCAGUUUAGAGGUGUGUAGUGAUGAACCCACAGAGAAUGAUCACCACUUCUGCAGAUCCCUUCAUUCCCUACAGAGCGUUUUAGCAUCUUUUAGCUCAUGUUUUGGUUUCAUAGCCCGUAACUUAACUGUUUUGAUUUACUCUCACCACUCUCAUCAUGUUUUCAGACGCAGCAGGCAGCUGUUUUCAAUGAAAAAGCUCUAAAAAACCACUGUGUCUAAUCAUAUCCAAUACUAAGCAUUCAAUGAGGUGACUGUAGCUAUAAACAUGUCCAACCAGACUGAAGGACCCACACUCGCUCAUAAGUGUGAUAUAUACCUCGGUGUUUCAGCUAUAAAAUAAAGUGAUUUACAUUUGUUUUGCUUGUCCCCUGGCGAUAUCUAGUCAUAAUGCCAGGGGCAAGUUGUGCAAUAGCUCACACCUCAUUAAUCCACCUACCCUUUGUUAUAUUUUUAGCUCAUUCCACAAUUGACUUGGCACCACUCAAGAUAACUGCAUUUCAGAAUGCAUCUCUGACAAGCUGGUGAUGACAUUUAGAUGUUUUAAUAUCAAUGUUCUCUGCUUAUUUACACUGAUUAUCGUUGUGUGAAUUGUACUGCGAUCCCUCAGACAUUUUAAUUGCACUUUAUUCCUUGUUUGCAGAUAGUAAUCAUGAGUAAUCAUUGAAAUACACUGCAGCCAUCAUAACCAAUAAACUAGCUUUUAAUAUGAA